rnacentral:rRNA from 1 species
GAUGAACGCUGGCGGCGUGCCUAAUACAUGCAAGUCGAGCGAACAGACGAGGAGCUUGCUCCUCUGACGUUAGCGGCGGACGGGUGAGUAACACGUGGAUAACCUACCUAUAAGACUGGGAUAACUUCGGGAAACCGGAUCUAAUACCGGAUAAUAUAUUGAACCGCAUGGUUCAAUAGUGAAAGACGGUUUUGCUGUCACUUAUAGAUGGAUCCGCGCCGGAUUAGCUAGUUGGUAAGGUAACGGCUUACCAAGGCAACGAUGCGUAGCCGACCUGAGAGGGUGAUCGGCCACACUGGAACUGAGACACGGUCCAGACUCCUACGGGAGGCAGCAGUAGGGAAUCUUCCGCAAUGGGCGAAAGCUUGACGGAGCAACGCCGCGUGAGUGAUGAAGGUCUUCGGAUCGUAAAACUCUGUUAUUAGGGAAGAACAAAUGUGUAAGUAACUAUGCACGUCUUGACGGUACCUAAUCAGAAAGCCACGGCUAACUACGUG